rnacentral:rRNA from 1 species
GACGAACGCUGGCGGCGUGCCUAAUACAUGCAAGUCGAACGCUUCUUUCCUCCCGAGUGCUUGCACUCAAUUGGAAAGAGGAGUGGCGGACGGGUGAGUAACACGUGUGUAACCUACCCAUCAUAGGGGGAUAACACUUGGAAACAGGUGCUAAUACCGCAUAACAGUUUAUGCCGCAUGGCAUAAGAGUGAAAGGCGCUUUCGGGUGUCGCUGAUGGAUGGACCCGCGGUGCAUUAGCUAGUUGGUGGGGUAACGGCUCACCAAGGCCACGAUGCAUAGCCGAACUGAGAGGGUGAUCGGCCACACUGGGACUGAGACAGGGCCCAGACUCCUACGGGAGGCAGCAGUAGGGAAUGUUCGGCAAUGGACGAAAGUCUGACCGAGCAACGCCGCGUGAGUGAAGAAGGUGUUCGGAGCGUAAAACUCUGUUGUUAGAGAAGAACAAGGACGUUCGGAACUGAACGUCCCCUGACGGUAUCUAACCAGAAAGCCACGGCUAACUACGUG